CAGGGGGGAAGAGUGGCAGGAAAAGUCUCCAGCGUGUGAAAUAACUGUUACUUCACUGUAAAUCCUCCAUAUUUCAGGAUCGUCUUAAAAAACAGUUCCGGAGAAGCAGUCGGAGUAAUUGGAUAAUCGCGAAGCUGGAAGCUGUUCCAGUGGUAGGCAAAGCGGUAUGAGGGUCAAUAAGGGUGCGAAGCAGUAUUUUCCAGGAACCAACCAACGCAAUGAAAGAAGCGACCAGACACCCAUUGAUGCCCUGUGAGGAUGUCACCAGUGUCAAGUUUGACACAGGAAGAACAGCGACCCCCGGUGUAAACGCUCAACACAACUUUUCUGAUGAAACAGCACGGCUCAGAAACACUGUACAGUCAUAGUCUCUUUCAAAAUAAUUUUUAUUAAAUUUGUUUGUGUUUUCUAUAUUGUGAUUACGACGCUGUAGAAACGAGUGUACAUAAAUGCCCCACAUUUUGUAUACAUUUUAUUUUCUGAACUUUUACUUUACGCUUGAUGUUAAUUAAAGUUGCACAUUUCGCGUCCCAUCA